UCAGAGCUCAAGUUCCUCCUCCUGUGACCCCCAUAUCCACAGGGAGAGUGGUCACCUCUAACGGCCUCAGUGUUCAUCGCCUGAGCUGUGUGGGUGGAAUGAUCAUUGUGAGGUCAGCUGAGUACAGAUGUGGAGGUGAAGUAAUCUGCUCUCACGGUGACGCUGUGAACAACGUGAGGAACAGCUGUGAUGGAAAAACCGAGUGUGACAUAAAGUCAAACAUUACUUAUGAUCCUGGAGUCUGCAAAUACCUGGAGACCACCUACGACUGCUUGC